GUCCUUAGGACUAAGCCAUGCAAGCCAGCGAAGGCAACGAAGCGGUGAACGGCUCAGUAGGACAGGGUUUAUCUGGCCAGAAUUUAGGAUAACCACGGUAAGCUGUGGCUAAGACUAAUUUGGGUGAGACUCUGGCCUAUUAGCUUGACGGUACGGUAAGUGCGUACUGUGGCGAUGAUGGGUAGCGGGGAAUCGGGGUUUGAUUCCGGAGAGGGAGCCUGAGAGAUGGCUGCCACGUCCAAGGACGGCUGCAGGCGCGAAAAUUACCCACUUGGAGGACCAGAGGUAGUGACGAGGCGUUAAUAAUGAGAGUAGUGUAAACAGCUAUUUGAAGGCAAUUGGAGGGCAAGUCUGGUGCCAGCAGCCGCGGUAAUUCCAGCUCCAAGAGCAUCUGUGUGUGUUGCUGCGGUUAAAGAGUGCGUAGUCAGAUUUUUUGCCAGCAAUAAAGGUGCGAUAUCCAAACGUGCAUUGUGCUGGUACUUUAAUCUAGGGACCGGAGUAGGGCAAUAUUAUUCGACAGCGAGGGGUGAAAACUGAUGACCUGUCGAGGAGUGACUGAGGCGAAAGCGGUUGUCCGGGACGGGUUCGACGAUCAAGCGCGUGAGCAGGAGGAUCGAAGGCGAUUAGAGACCGUCGUAGUUCCUGCAGUAAACGAUGCCAACAGGGGUGCAAGAGCUGUGCCCCAAGGGAAACCGAGUGUAUAGGCUCCGGGGAUAGUACGGGCGCAAGCCAGAAACUUGAAGAAAUUGACGGAAGGACACCACAAGGAGUGGAGUGUGCGGGUUAAUUUGACUCAACGCGGGGCAACUUACCAGGGCAAGCAAUGUUGCGCGAAGGGCAUGUAUAAGUUAUGUGUUCUGAUGAUGUUGCGUGUGGUGCAUGGCCGUUCUUAACACGUGGGGUGACCUGUCUGGUUAAAUCCGAUAACGCGUGAGACCCUGAACUUUUGUGACGGUACUCGAAGAGAGUAAGGAAGCACUGGUUGAUAACAGGUCUGUGAUGCCCGUAGAUGUUCUGGGCGCCACGCGCACUACAGUGGGAAAGGAUGCUUUAAACGGUACUUUCUUGCGGUUGGGAUUGACGUUUGUAAAUACGUCAUGAACGUGGAAUUCCUAGUAGUUUGUUGUCACUAUCGACAGACGAAUGUGUCCCUGUUCUUUGUACACACCGCCCGUCGUUAUCUAAGAUGGAUGUGCGGAUGAAGCUGGCUUGGCCAUAAGAAUCCGUGCGACUAGAUUGGAUACAAGUCGUAACAAGGUUGCAGUAGGUGAACCUGCCGCAGGAUCAAUAGUUAAAUUGAUUGGGUUUUAUAUUUAUAAGUAACAUCAUACUCGAUGGAUCGAUUGGCUUUGGUGACGAUUAAGAACGUUGCUGAAUGCGUAAUUGGGAAUGCAUGGCAACAUGUUACCUGUGUUCGAAUUGUAGGUUUUUAUCUACGAUAACCCUCUGGACUUAAGCAUAUCAUUAAGAGGAGGAAAAUAAAAUAACUAUGAUUCCGAUAGUAGCGGCGAGUGAAUUUGGAACAGCCCCAAUGGUAAAGGAUACAUUGUAUUCUGUUGUAAAGGGUAUGCAGUAAAAAUGUUGAAAUGCAUUUUCAUAGAGGGUGAAAAACCUGUAUUGCAAUAUUAUAUAGUGAGUAGUACUGUUUGGUAGUGCAGUAUGAAAGGGUGGUUGUGAUCAUCCAAGGCUAAAUACAACCAAAGACCGAUAGAGGAUAAGUACUGUGAAGGAACUGACCUGCUGUGAUGGUAGGGAUGUGAAAUUCGAGUAUGAGGAAGGGA
rnacentral:rRNA from 1 species